rnacentral:rRNA from 1 species
UACGGAGGGGGCAAGCGUUGUUCGGAAUUACUGGGCGUAAAGGGCGCGCAGGCGGCUGCUCAAGUCAGGCGUGAAAGGCCUGGGCUCAACCCGGGAAUUGCGCUUGGGACUGGGCUGGCUAGAGUCCGGAAGGGGCGAGUGGAAUUCCUGGUGUAGCGGUGAAAUGCGCAGAUAUCAGGAGGAACACCAAUGGCGAAGGCAGCUCGCUGGGACGGUACUGACGCUGAGGCGCGAAAGCGUGGGGAGCAAACAGG